rnacentral:rRNA from 1 species
GAUGAACGCUGGCUACAGGCUUAACACAUGCAAGUCGAGGGGAAACGACGGGGAAGCUUGCUUCCCCGGGCGUCGACCGGCGCACGGGUGAGUAACGCGUAUCCAACCUGCCUCUGACUGAGGGAUAACCCGUCGAAAGUCGGCCUAAUACCUCAUGGCAUCGUCUGCGGGCAUCCAACAACGAUUAAAGAUUUCAUCGGUCAGAGAUGGGGAUGCGUCUGAUUAGCUUGUUGGCGGGGUAACGGCCCACCAAGGCGACGAUCAGUAGGGGUUCUGAGAGGAAGGUCCCCCACAUUGGAACUGAGACACGGUCCAAACUCCUACGGGAGGCAGCAGUGAGGAAUAUUGGUCAAUGGGCGAGAGCCUGAACCAGCCAAGUAGCGUGCAGGAUGACGGCCCUAUGGGUUGUAAACUGCUUUUAUGCGGGGAUAAAGUGAGGGACGUGUCCUUCAUUGCAGGUACCGCAUGAAUAAGGACCGGCUAAUUCCGUG